rnacentral:rRNA from 1 species
CCUACGGGUGGCAGCAGUGGGGAAUAUUGGACAAUGGGGGGAACCCUGAUCCAGCCAUGCCGCGUGUGUGAAGAAGGCCCUCGGGUUGUAAAGCACUUUCAGUGAGGAAGAACGCCUGGUGGUUAAUACCCAUCAGGAAAGACAUCACUCACAGAAGAAGCACCGGCUAACUCCGUGCCAGCAGCCGCGGUAAUACGGAGGGUGCGAGCGUUAAUCGGAAUUACUGGGCGUAAAGCGCGCGUAGGUGGCUUGAUAAGCCGGUUGUGAAAGCCCCGGGCUCAACCUGGGAACGGCAUCCGGAACUGUCAAGCUAGAGUGCAGGAGAGGAAGGUAGAAUUCCCGGUGUAGCGGUGAAAUGCGUAGAGAUCGGGAGGAAUACCAGUGGCGAAGGCGGCCUUCUGGACUGACACUGACACUGAGGUGUGAAAGCGUGGGUAGCAAACAGGAUUAGAUACCCUUGUAGUC